rnacentral:rRNA from 1 species
GGAUUAGCUAGUAGGUGGGGUAACGGCUCACCUAGGCGACGAUCCCUAGCUGGUCUGAGAGGAUGACCAGCCACACUGGAACUGAGACACGGUCCAGACUCCUACGGGAGGCAGCAGUGGGGAAUAUUGCACAAUGGGCGCAAGCCUGAUGCAGCCAUGCCGCGUGUAUGAAGAAGGCCUUCGGGUUGUAAAGUACUUUCAGCGGGGAGGAAGGGAGUAAAGUUAAUACCUUUGCUCAUUGACGUUACCCGCAGAAGAAGCACCGGCUAACUCCGUGCCAGCAGCCGCGGUAAUACGGAGGGUGCAAGCGUUAAUCGGAAUUACUGGGCGUAAAGCGCACGCAGGCGGUUUGUUAAGUCAGAUGUGAAAUCCCCGGGCUCAACCUGGGAACUGCAUCUGAUACUGGCAAGCUUGAGUCUCGUAGAGGGGGGUAGAAUUCCAGGUGUAGCGGUGAAAUGCGUAGAGAUCUGGAGGAAUACCGGUGGCG